rnacentral:rRNA from 1 species
GGCGGACGGGUGAGUAAUGUCUGGGAAACUGCCUGAUGGAGGGGGAUAACUACUGGAAACGGUAGCUAAUACCGCAUAACGUCGCAAGACCAAAGAGGGGGACCUUCGGGCCUCUUGCCAUCGGAUGUGCCCAGAUGGGAUUAGCUUGUUGGUGGGGUAACGGCUCACCAAGGCGACGAUCCCUAGCUGGUCUGAGAGGAUGACCAGCCACACUGGAACUGAGACACGGUCCAGACUCCUACGGGAGGCAGCAGUGGGGAAUAUUGCACAAUGGGCGCAAGCCUGAUGCAGCCAUGCCGCGUGUAUGAAGAAGGCC